rnacentral:rRNA from 1 species
GACGAACGCUGGCGGCGUGCUUGACACAUGCAAGUCGAACGGAAAGGCCCUGCUUUUGUGGGGUGCUCGAGGGGCGAACGGGUGAGUAACACGUGAGUAACCUGCCCUUGACUUUGGGAUAACUUCAGGAAACUGGGGCUAAUACCGGAUAGGAGCUCCUGCUGCAUGGUGGGGGUUGGAAAGUUUCGGCGGUUGGGGAUGGACUCGCGGCUUAUCAGCUUGUUGGUGGGGUAGUGGCUUACCAAGGCUUUGACGGGUAGCCGGCCUGAGAGGGUGACCGGCCACAUUGGGACUGAGAUACGGCCCAGACUCCUACGGGAGGCAGCAGUGGGGAAUAUUGCACAAUGGGCGGAAGCCUGAUGCAGCAACGCCGCGUGCGGGAUGACGGCCUUCGGGUUGUAAACCGCUUUCGCCUGUGACGAAGCGUGAGUGACGGUAAUGGGUAAAGAAGCACCGGCUAACUACGUG